rnacentral:miRNA from 1 species
UGGAGCCGGAGCUGGUUAGCGG